rnacentral:rRNA from 1 species
AGGAACACGUGAAGAACUUGCCCCGGAGAGGGGAAUAACAGUGGGAAACCACUGCUAAUACCUCAUAUUGUUACUUGAUCUCCUGAUCGAGUAAUGAAAUGGAUUCCGCUCCGGGAGAGCUUCGCGCCCUAUCAGCUUGUUGGUGAGGUAACGGCUCACCAAGGCUACGACGGGUAGCUGGUCUGAGAGGACGACCAGCCACACUGGGACUGAGACACGGCCCAG